GAAGAUGUAGCACAAAUGGUAAAAUGUUUGCUUAGCAUGCGAGGUCAUGGGUUCGAUCCCCCAUGUCUUCA